rnacentral:rRNA from 1 species
GACGAACGCUGGCGGCGUGCUUAAUACAUGCAAGUCGAACGAAGUGGCGAACGGGUGAGUAAUACGUGGGUAACCUGCCCUCCUUUUUGGGAUAAGCCUUGGAAACGGGGUCUAAUACCGAAUAAUGGGGGAUGGGCUCGCGGCCUAUCAGCUUGUUGGUGGGGUGAUGGCCUACAAAGGCGGUGAGGGGUAGCCGGCCUGAGAGGGUGACCGGCCACAUUGGGAGUGAGAUACGGCCCAGACUCCUACGGGAGGCAGCAGUGGGGGAUAUUGCAAAAUGGGCGAAAGCCUGAUGCAGCGACGCCGCGGUAAUAC